GACGAACGCUGGCGGCGUGCCUAAUACAUGCAAGUUGAGCGAUGAAGAUUGGUGCUUGCACCAAUUUGAAGAGCAGCGAACGGGUGAGUAACGCGUGGGGAAUCUGCCUUUGAGCGGGGGACAACAUUUGGAAACGAAUGCUAAUACCGCAUAACAACUUUAAACAUAAGUUUUAAGUUUGAAAGAUGCAAUUGCAUCACUCAAAGAUGAUCCCGCGUUGUAUUAGCUAGUUGGUGAGGUAAAGGCUCACCAGGGCGAUGAUACAUAGCCGACCUAAGAGGGUGAUCGGCCACAUUGGGACUGAGACACGGCCCAAACUCCUACGGGAGGCAGCAGUAGGGAAUCUUCGGCAAUGGACGAAAGUCUGACCGAGCAACGCCGCGUGAGUGAAGAAGGUUUUCGGAUCGUAAAACUCUGUUGGUAGAGAAGAACGUUGGUGAGAGUGGAAAGCUCAUCAAGUGACGGUAACUACCCAGAAAGGGACGGCUAACUACGUG
rnacentral:rRNA from 1 species